rnacentral:rRNA from 1 species
GAUGAACGCUGGCGGCGUGCUUAACACAUGCAAGUCGAACGAAGCAAGAAACGAAGCGCAAGCAGAGGUUCUUGACUGAGUGGCGGACGGGUGAGUAACGCGUGGAUAACCUGCCUUUCACAGGGGGAUAACAGCUGGAAACGGCUGCUAAUACCGCAUGAGCCUCUUUUGUCGCAUGAGGAGAGAGGGAAAGAGAAAUCGGUGAGAGAUGGAUCCGCGUCCGAUUAGCUAGUUGGAGGGGUAACAGCCCACCAAGGCGACGAUCGGUAGCCGACCUGAGAGGGUGGACGGCCACAUUGGGACUGAGACACGGCCCAA